rnacentral:tRNA from 1 species
AGAGAUUUAGGAUAGCAAUAGACCAAAAGCCUUCAAAGCUUUAAGCAGGAGUGAAAAUCUCCUAAUCUCUG